UCCUACGGGAGGCAGCAGUGGGGAAUAUUGCACAAUGGGCGAAAGCCUGAUGCAGCGACGCCGCGUGAGGGAUGACGGCCUUCGGGUUGUAAACCUCUUUCAGCAGGGACGAAGCGCAAGUGACGGUACCUGCAGAAGAAGCACCGGCUAACUACGUGCCAGCAGCCGCGGUAAUACGUAGGGUGCAAGCGUUGUCCGGAAUUACUGGGCGUAAAGAGUUCGUAGGCGGUUUGUCGCGUCGUUUGUGAAAACCAGCAGCUCAACUGCUGGCUUGCAGGCGAUACGGGCAGACUUGAGUACUGCAGGGGAGACUGGAAUUCCUGGUGUAGCGGUGAAAUGCGCAGAUAUCAGGAGGAACACCGGUGGCGAAGGCGGGUCUCUGGGCAGUAACUGACGCUGAGGAACGAAAGCGUGGGUAGCGAACAGGAUUAGAUACCCUGGU
rnacentral:rRNA from 1 species